rnacentral:misc_RNA from 1 species
GAUGAAGAACGCAGCGAAAUGCGAUAAGUAGUGUGAAUUGCAGAAUUCAGUGAAUCAUCGAAUCUUUGAACGCACAUUGCGCCUCCUGGUAUUCCGGGAGGCAUGCCUGUUCGAGCGUCAUUAAAAUCACUCAAGCUUAGGUUUACCUAUUGCUUGGUCUUGGAGAUGGAAGCCAAUUUAUUGGAAUCCUCUUCGAAAUUCAAUGGCGAAGACCCUUGCUCUCCCAAGUGUAGUAAUAACUUAUGUCACUGAAGGAAGCGAGAAAUCUUCUGCCGUAACCCCCAUAUUUUCUAUGAUUGACCUCGGAUCAGGUAGGGAUACCCGCUGAACUUAAGCAUAUCAAUGCGGAGGA